CUACGGGUCCUCUGUCACUCCACGGCCACAGCCCUGCGCUUCCUGGUGGAGAAUCAUGGCUGGAGCACCAACUUCCUCACCACGGCUUGGUUCUUGGAACAGUACCUGAAGGCGUCCAAGGCAGGGUCCUACGAACUGGACGAUGCCUCCUUUUACCUGGCUGACCUCGCAGACUUGGAUGUACAACCUGCUGUGCCCACCGACAUUUUUCUUGAGGAGAGGCACGAGACCCAUGUCCCCUCCAUGGUCAUCGGUUG
rnacentral:lncRNA from 1 species